AGCAGCCGCGGUAAUUCCAGCUCCAAUAGCGUAUAUUAAAGUUGUUGCAGUUAAAAAGCUCGUAGCUGAAUUUCGGGAUCAGUAGGUUGGUCAUGCCUUUGGUAUGUACUGGCCUCACUGAUUCCUCCCUCUUGAAGAACCGUAAUGUUAUUAAUUUGGUGUUGCGGGGAAUCAGGACUGUUACUUUGAAAAAAUUAGAGUGUUUAAAGCAGGCUCACGCUUGAAUACAUUAGCAUGGAAUAAUGAAAUAGGACGUAUGAUCCUAUUUUGUUGGUUUCUAGGAUUGACGUAAUGAUUAAUAGGGAUAGUUGGGGGCAUUAGUAUUCAAUUGUCAGAGGUGAAAUUCUUGGAUUUAUUGAAGACUAACUACUGCGAAAGCAUUUUGCCAAGGAUGUUUUCAUUAAUCAAGAACGAAAGUUAGGGGAUCGAAGACGAUCAGAUACCGUCGUAGUCUUAACCAUAAACUAUGCCGACUAGGGAUCGGAUGAUGUUAAUUUUUUAAUGACUCAUUCGGCGCCUU
rnacentral:rRNA from 1 species